rnacentral:rRNA from 1 species
AUGAGGAAUUUUCCGCAAUGGGCGAAAGCCUGACGGAGCAAUGCCGCGUGAAGGAUGAAGGCCUAUGGGUUGUAAACUUCUUUUCUCAGAAAAGAAUUAUGACGGUAUCUGAGGAAUAAGCAUCGGCUAACUCUGUGCCAGCAGCCGCGGUAAGACAGAGGAUGCAAGCGUUAUCCGGAAUGAUUGGGCGUAAAGCGUCUGUAGGUUGUUUAAAAAGUAUUCUGUCAAAGAUUAGGGCUUAACCCUAGAUAGGCAGAAUAAACUUUUAAGCUAGAGUUUGGUAGAGGCAGAGGGAAUUCCCGGUGGAGCGGUGAAAUGCGUAGAUAUCGGGAGGAACACCAAAGGCGAAGGCACUCUGCUGGGCCAAUACUAACACUGAGAGACGAAAGCGAGGGGAGCAAAUGGGAUUAGAAACCCUAGUAGUCC